AUGAAGAGAAAAAUGCAGAAGUAAAUAGUCAAACACAAGAUUCUGACGAGGAGCCAUCUGAGGUCAAAACCGUACAGUGGAUUGCACCCAAGUGCUGAGGAGUAUGACAUUUUUCAACAUUUGGAGCUUUCUAGUUGUUUUUUUCUGCAUAUUUUCAGCUGAGUCUAUGACUCCUGUAUCUGCUCCAGUAGGAGGAAAUGUCACUUUUACGUGUUCACAUUUCCUGGCCAGCUCCAAUAUAAAAUUUUUCUGCAGAGAUGAUUGUGCAGACAAGAAUAUUCUCAUAAUAUCUGAGACAGGAAAAAGAGAGACUCGCAGAGGGAGAUAUACUCUUCACGACAUGGGGUCAGAGUUCACAGUGACCAUCACUGACCUACAGAAAUCAGACUCUGGGACAUAUAUCUGUGCAGUUCAGAGAUAUAUUAAAGACACUUACAAUUAUGUUACUCUAAAUGUGAUUGAGGGCUCAACACAAAUGCCUGUUCCAGCAAGUACAUCCAGACAACCUGCAAGAAGAACAACUAGAGAAACAACAGGUAUUCAUCCAAUGUAGCUCCAUCCAUCAAUCUAUCAAAUGUAGCUGUGUCCAUCAUCCAUCCAUCCAUCCAUACAGUGUAGCUGGAUCCAUCAAUCCAUUCAUCAUCCAUCAAUCUGUCCAUCCGUAAUACAUCCAUACUGUAUAUCCAGCACAAUGCAGUCAUUAAUUCGUCCAUCUUCCAUCCAUCCAUAAUCAUCUGUCAGAUGUACAGUAGCUGUAUCCAUCUGUCCAUUUAUCAGUCCAUCCAUCCAUCCAUCCAUCCAGUGUAGCUGCAUCCGGCCAUCCGUCCAUCCAUACAAUGUAGCUGCACCCAUCAGUCUGUCCAUCAUCCAUCCAUCCAUUAUCAUCUAUCCAAUGUACUGUCCGUUUGUCCAUCUACCAUCCAUCCAUCCGUCCAUCCAAUGUAGCUGCA